AUGUGGUCGAUCGAGGCAGCGAUCGCCAGGCACGAAGCCGGUCUUGGUCUCACUCUCACCGCAAGUGAAGGCAUCGUUAUAUGGAGGAGGCGAGCGCCGAGGCCGUGGCCAUGGCGAGCGGCAUGGCGCCUGGAGCGGAGGUCACGACGAUGAAGGUGGUGGCGGCGGUGGACGCGAGCGAGGAGAGCCUGCACGCGCUCUCGUGGGCGCUCGACAACGUCGUCCGGCACCACCCCGGCGCGUCCGUCGUCGUCGUCCACGCCCAGCACCCCGUCGACCACUUCGUCUACCCCGUCGCCGCCCACGGCCUGGCCUACGCGCCGCCGACGGCGAUGGACUCCAUGAGGAGGGCGCAGGCGGAGAACUCCCGGAAGGCGGUGGCCCGCGCGCUGGACGUGUGCAGGCAGAAGCAGGUGAGCGCCACGGCGGCGGUGGUGGAGGGCGACGCCAAGGAGGCCAUCUGCCAGGCCGUGGAGGACGCGCGCGCCGACCUCCUCGUCCUCGGCAGCCGCGGCCUGGGCAUGAUCAAGAGGGCGUUGCUGGGCAGCGUGAGCGACUACCUCGCACAUCACGCCUCCUGUCCCGUCCUCAUCGUCAAGCCGCCCAACAAAGCGCACCACAAGUGAAGCCCGGCCAAAGGGAACCACAUCUACUUGUUCAUAACUACUACUGUACUGCAUCAAGCGACUUGUGCUUCCAAUAACGACUUAGAAGAUGGAGUGAU